UUGUGUCCAGAAGUCUGUGACUCUCUGGCUUUUUCACUUGGCUGGCUGCAGUUUCAUGGCUCUGACCUCAGAUCUCUAGCUGCCUCACUGUCAGAGUACCUCACUUCCCAGUUGCCUCUCCUCUGUCUUUUCUGACUGAGCCUUUUUAAGAACUACACUUUUUUUUUUGUCUGACCCUUUGCUCCUAACCUAAUGACCUCAGUGCUAUCCUAGAUGACCACUUCUCACCCAAGAUCCCAUAACAUUUCGAAGCUGGAUGAGAUGGUUCCCUGCUUGCUAAGAUGAGCUUCAGGACCCUGUGGAAACAAAUUUGAUGAUCAAUGAUGAAAUGAAGGCGAUUCUGGAAAGUGCUCAGUCCACCCCAGUAUCUUCACCUGAGCAUUCUACUUUGUUGACUGGAUCUGGCUCAUCAAGGGCUGAGGAAGUUCUUCAGGCAGAAUGAGGAAGAUAUAUAGAUGAACUAUCUGGAUAAGGAAAAGAGGAAGAACAUUUGAGACAAAUGGAUAGCUGGCAUGAAGUUUCCUCUUCUCCAGAACUAAGGGCUGCCACCUGUUCAGAGAACAAGUUCACUCUGGCUGGAAGUACACCACCUGGUCCCCUUUCCUUUGGGACCUGUCCUGGAAGACAUGUCUGCAGAGCUGAGUGAGGCUCCCUGCCCCGGCUGCUGUCCUGGCUUGCAGGAUCUGGGAACACAUACCCAGAAACAACUCCCCAUGCAUGCGCCCUGCCUUUCCUCACAUGCUUCCCAGAGAGCACAUAACAUACUUCAAGAAAACCAAAGAAAGAAAAAAUUGCCCUAAGAGUUCCGGAAUUGACCUCUGGCUACAAAGAGCAUUGUGACUGGCUUACAAAGUUAUACGAUUCUCUGACGAAACUCUUUGUGACCCAGAGCAACUACUUAAGAGUCUGUUACAAGGUGUACAGUGUAUUCUCUCUGUGAGCUUACAUCUGUGGGCUCCACAAAGGGCAUGCAUGCCAAAAGCCUGGGUACGUGGUAGUUCCCAGUGACUGAAUCUUCGCCCAUUGGAAAAGUGAGGAACAGAAGAAAAGUCAGGCAAAUAGUCUAUGAGCUGGCUAGGUUUGUGUGUCCAUCAUCCUCUUGGGUGAAAGGCCAAAGGAAUGAGGGACAUGUCCCAAGAAGUAUGGCUGGAGCCAUGCCACAAAGUCAUACAGCCUCUUGGUGCACUGCUCUGUGCAUCUCCAAGACUCAGUCAGUAUUACAUUGACUGAUUCACUUGGUUUGUCCCCACCAAGACUCCCUUACACAGUGAAAAUGAGCACAUGCCUUCCCUAGACUGGCUUCAUUAUGGACUGGAGGUUUGACUUAGUAGUCACCUACAGCCCAAAUCUGCUCUGUUCUUGUUUCCCAUGGCAGGACUUGUGGGACUCACUUGAUGGUCAUGAUUGUAGAUCGUGAUGCACAGUGCAGUGAUUGGCUCACGACAGCUCAGCCUUCUUGCCACAUGGGAGCUUCCUUCAAUAUGACUUGGUGCUCAACCACAUUCUGGGCCAACAGAUGCCAGGCCUUUCCCCAAAGCACAGCUUUGUCAGUCUCUCAGCCAUCUUUUGGUCUUCAAUAAGGAAAUACCAAUGGUACCUGGCUGUCUUGGAGGCUGACUGCAGCUGCCCCAUGUUUCCCUACUCUAAACUCAGACCAUUGUCAAGUCAAGAGCACAGAUCAGAACCUUGUCUUCUACCACGAGCCAGUACUGAAGUCAAUAAAUAUCCUGUCAGCAGUGUGGCCACAG
ensembl:lincRNA 4933440M02Rik RIKEN cDNA 4933440M02 gene